rnacentral:rRNA from 1 species
AGCGAACGCUGGCGGCAGGCCUAACACAUGCAAGUCGAACGAACUCUUCGGAGUUAGUGGCGGACGGGUGAGUAACACGUGGGAACGUGCCCUUUGGUACGGAAUAACUCAGGGAAACUUGAGCUAAUACCGUAUGUGCCCUUCGGGGGAAAGAUUUAUCGCCAUUGGAGCGGCCCGCGUCUGAUUAGCUAGUUGGUGAGGUAAAGGCUCACCAAGGCUACGAUCAGUAGCUGGUCUGAGAGGAUGAUCAGCCACAUUGGGACUGAGACACGGCCCAAACUCCUACGGGAGGCAGCAGUGGGGAAUCUCGCGCAAUGGGCGAAAGCCUGACGCAGCCAUGCCGCGUGAAUGAUGAAGGUCUUAGGAUUGUAAAAUUCUUUCACCGGGGACGAUAAUGACGGUACCCGGAGAAGAAGCCCCGGCUAACUUCGUG